rnacentral:piRNA from 1 species
UGGCUGAGGGUACUGUCCACAUAAGAGC